CUAGUAUUUUCGCGCCGAUUUUGCACCUGUCAUGUUUUGUGGUCCUGUCAAAUCCUAGUUGUGCUAAAUAUUUACAAUUAAUUUCGUUUAAUGACGUUUGGGAUUUGUUUUUGGUCAUGUGAAGACAUUCACGAAACGAAGAUUUUGAAGAAUUUUUACAAUUCUUCUCAGGUAACAUUGUUGGAGUUUAGCAAAAUUUUUCAGAUGUAUUUGCGAAGUUCAAAACAAAAUUUGGAACAGAAAUUAGUCGAAAAAGUAGUUAAUUUUUGAUUUUGUCAGAGAUGUGUGAAAAAUGUUCAAAUAUCUGUCAAGUGUUUGGUGAUUGAGAGGUUCAGUGAUAAGCUGAUAAGUGGAUUCUACGAUGAGAGGCAGUUGUUACGUCACGAUUUCUUCUUUUCAUUAUCUUGCUUAUUCCUUAUCGUAGAAAAUUUUGAAAAGAACCUAAUGAUAUUAUUGUCAAUUUCCGUUAAAACAUAAAACAGGUAAAAUAAUUUUCUAAUGCCUUUAAUAAAUAAAUGUAAUAACUUACCAAAUUGUUUAAUUUUAAAAAUGAAUUCGAAGAAUAAAAUCAACAGCCUGCAUGACUAAAAUAUUAGAAUCGUCAUUGUGACAAAAAAAAUUGUAGUAAAUGACAAGCAAAAGAUAAAUGUAAAAACAAAAAUGGAAUAUGGACAAAGUUCAAAUAUGAUUCACCUAUUAUUAGUAAUAAUUAUUACACUUGAUUCUUUAAUGCAAUACCACUUUUGCAAGCAUGAAAUAUAUAUCGCAUGUGUGGCAUUACAGCUACUAAAAAAAAUAUUAAAAAAUAAUAUUGCUUUUUAUUUACAAUGCAGCAGCACGUAAAAG